rnacentral:rRNA from 1 species
UACGUAGGGUGCGAGCGUUAAUCGGAAUUACUGGGCGUAAAGUGUGCGCAGGCGGUCGUGCAAGUCGCGUGUGAAAGCCCCCGGCUCAACUGGGGAGGGUCACGCGAUACUGCUCGACUCGAAGGCAGGAGAGGGAAGUGGAAUUCCCGGUGUAGUGGUGAAAUGCGUAGAUAUCGGGAGGAACACCAGUGGCGAAGGCGACUUCCUGGCCCGUUCUUGACGCUGAGGCGCGAAAGCUAGGGUAGCAAACGGG